rnacentral:rRNA from 1 species
GACAGAGGCCUCAAGCGUUAGGCGGAAUCACUGGGCUUAAAGCGUGUGUAGGCGGAUCGUUAAGUGUCUUGUGAAAUCCCACGGCUCACCCGUGGAACUGCUGGGCAUACUGGCGAUCUUGGGCCAACUAGGGGCAACUGGAACAAGCGGUGGAGCGGUGAAAUGCGUAGAUAUCAGGAGGAACACCUGUGGCGAAAGCGGCUCACUGGACCAUAACUGACGCUGAUGCACGAAAGCUAGGGGAGCAAACAGG